UCAAUAAAUUGAUUCCAGACAGCAUUGGAAAAGACAUAGAAAAAGCUUGCCAAUCUAUUUAUCCUCUCCAUGAUGUCUUCGUUAGAAAAGUAAAAAUGCUGAAGAAGCCCAAGUUUGAAUUGGGAAAACUCAUGGAGCUUCAUGGUGAAGGCAGUAGUUCUGGAAAAGCCACUGGGGAUGAGACAGGUGCUAAAGUUGAACGAGCUGAUGGAUACGAACCACCAGUCCAAGAAUCUGUUUAAAGUUCAGACUUAUAAUAGUGGCAAAUAAAAACUGUGGAAAAUAAAAUUUUCUAUUUGUGGCAUU